rnacentral:lncRNA from 1 species
CUGGUAUGUAGCGCACCGGGCUUUGAACGUGCACUGGGGACACCGUGCGCUCCACAGCAUAACACGGUGUCUUACCAGUACCACGCUGCUUCCGGUAAGCACGGGGAGUUGGCUUAGGUCUACCACCUGACUCCGCCAAUCUCCCCGUGUGCCCCCCCCCAAAAAAAUUGUGGGGCUGCCUCCCGUGUCCGUUGCGCUCCCUCUCCUCAUACCAGCGCCUCUCAGCUCUCGCCGCCUCGAUCUCCCACUGUGGGCGGCGAUAAUCCCCAGCUUGAGUCCAUGGUCCUUUCCCGUCCAGGAUUUCCUCCCAAGUCCAUGACUCCAGAUAGCCUUUCUCCUGGUGCCUCUCCUUGUGCUGCUCCUUCCUCUGCUGCUUGGUCCGUUGUCGGUGUGCAUCUUCAACGACUGGCUGACCAGUUUUAAAAAACAAACCAACAAAGAACAGGACAGGUUCCUAUAUUACAGAUUCCUCUUCUACAGGUAUGCAUGCCGUGUUGACUUCAUGCUGCUGCUGUGGCUACAUGCCAAACCUUUCAGAAUUCCUGUCGGGCAGCAAGUUGCCACGGAGGAGGACCAGAUUGUGGAAGGGAAUGAGUGCAAGGCCUACUCCCAGCCCCACCUUGGUGUCUCUGAACUCUGGGUACCACCUCUGUGGUGGUUCCUUGGUCAAUGAGAACUGGGUUGUGUCUGCUGCUUACUGCUACAUGUCAUGAGUAAACUACAUACCUGUACAUGAAGUAUCCUAUGUGCUUAUAGAUAAGACUUCCAUGUAAUGAAUACAUUCAAUAUGUGUACUGGUACAUCAAGCUGCCUCGCGCUACAGAAACAGGAGAUAGGCUCCUGUUCCUAUUAGCCGUUCCGGCUCGCACACGCCAAGGCUUGUACAAGCCACGUGGAGGUGCAUCUGGGCAAGAACAACAUUGCCAGGACUGAGGGUAAAGAGUAGUUCAUCUCUUCUUCCCGCAUCAUCCCCCACCCCAACUACAGCUCCUACAACAUCAACAAUGACAUCAUGCUGAUCAAGCUGAGCAAACCCGCCACCCUCAACACCUACGUGCAGCCUGUUGCUCUGCCCACCAGCUGUGCCCCUGCUGGCACCAUGUGUACCGUCUCUAGACGUGGCAACACCAUGAGCUCUAGUGACUCCAGUGGCCCCGUGGUGUGCAACGGUGAGUUGCAGGGUGUUGUGUCCUGAGGUUAUGGCUGUGCCGAGCCCGGUAACUCCGGUGUCUAUGCCAAGGUGUGCAUCUUCAAUGACUGGCUGACAAGCACCAUGGCCACCUACUAAAUCUGAUCCUAGCUUCGGUCCUCCAGCAUGGUCCUACAACUCUACAGCAUCCUGUGCAGUUCAACAUCCACAUUUUUUCCCAUGACAAAUAAAGCAUUUAACACUAAAUACUUUUU